AAACCUGGCAACCCUGUCACUGAUCUCAGUCUCAAAAGGCCUUAUUGGCGUUCAGUUUCAUACUUUCGUCGCUCUCAGUAACGAUGCCGACUAUUAAACUGCAGAGCUCUGAUGGAGAGAUGUUUGAGGUGGAUGUUGAAAUCGCCAAGCAGUCUGUGACUAUAAAAACCAUGCUUGAAGCCUGAAAUGAAGACUGACACAGUUUUUGUUUUAUCC